rnacentral:lncRNA from 1 species
AGAACAGUUAGGCAAGGUACUUCGGGUAAUUUGUGCCAAGUAUAUAAAUGCCAUGCUAACCUCCAUUUGCACAGACAAUGGCAUUCAUGGAUCCCUUCCUCAAUCCUUGGUACUGGAGAAACAAUUAGGAAGUAAUGGCAAAAAAAAUAGCAGCUCUCCUGCUUUGGACCUGCUCUCCCAAUGACAUGGAUAGCAUGAGUGGCCAGCGAGGUGUUCAGUGCUCUUCUCAAGUCCUUUCCAAGCUGAGUUAACCCUUUUCCAGCCCUCACCAGGCACAACCUAUUCAUACUGUGCAUUUCCCUCUUGAAGUGAGCGACCCAAGAAUAGGCCCUUGCCUGAUGUCUUUGUGGAGGCCAUCUCACUUCUGGAACAAAGCUUGGCACCUACUAUUUGCAGAACAAGUUGAGCAAACGAAGGACCGGAGUUUUGUAGUUUCUUGGCCAAGGCCUCUGAUCUUUAUGCUGUCUUCUGUCUCAUAUGAGCUCCAGGCCUCCAUGGCCACCCACAUGACAGAUUUCUGUUGCCUGGGAGAAUGCUGUCUGUUUCACUGGCUUUUAUAUUCAGCACAACUGAACAUGGCAUUUGAGAGACAGCAAUUGCUCAGGGUGGAACUGGAGAGGAAGAAUCCAGGAAAGCACUGAACAUCUGACCAAAAUUUGAGGAGAGGAAAAGAGCUAGAAGUUUGCAGUUCUGCAAGCACGGAGUUUGGCUGACAGCAUUAGCAAUCAUUUUUUAAGUGCUCAGUUUCUCUUUUUCUCCCACUCAUUUUCCUUAGGAAACUGAUAGACCAUUCUUUCAUAUUCUGUUCCAGGGACUGUCCACAUGAAAGGAAAGGGUAUGUGGUCAGCUAGUUGGAAUAAUUGGGGAGUCGAGAAAAUGUCAUACAUAGAGAGAGCAAAUAUGAAACAAGCAUUUAAAGUAUGUUCUUAUUUAAUGAAGUCUAAAUACCUUCUCCC